GACGCGACGCCAUCUUUUAUGUAUUCUAUCGUGGUGCGCGUCCUUCUGUGAGUUAGCUGACGGAAAUAUGGUUCAGGGUUGUUUUUGCCCAUGCCCCAUCAUCUGCCGCGAUCCUGGACAAGUUGGCGAUCAACAACAGGAUCCGGCCUGCGUGCAAUGGCCAGUGAAGUCUAUCCCAGUGCCUGUAUUAUUAUCAAGUCAUCACGCUGUCGUCGUCGGACUCGUCGGUUACAAAUGACGCGGCAGAUCUCUCUUAAGCUUAGAAAGAUGGUUGUGGCGCAGUGCUCUGCUACUUCGUGCCACAGGCCAUUCUCCAACUGCAGAUCUACGUGUCAGCGCGACAGUGCACUCACUCACCUUGUUUGGCCCGGUGGAAUUUGGUAUGUCACUUGAGGCGAGGAGGACUUGAGAAGGUGCGUCUGCGAACGGCCUUAGUGACGCCUCUUCAGCGCGACGGGUGGUCUCCUCAAAUAUGAGAAGGAGCUCGGGUCCUGCGGGCUCUUAACCGUCGUAGUAUUCACGCAGUGUUUUAAAAUAGUGUUUGUGUGUAUUAUGAUAACAUUUAUGUUCAAUUCAAAUGUCUAACUCUACAUAAGUAUUCAUAUCAUUUUUCAUUAGUAUGGUGCUGUUUUUGCGGUCUGAAGAAAAAACUUUAAAUAAAAUAAUUAUGUUGUCUGUA